rnacentral:rRNA from 1 species
UACGUAGGGUGCGAGCGUUAAUCGGAAUUACUGGGCGUAAAGGGUGCGCAGGCGGCGUCGCAAGUCAGGCGUGAAAUCCCCGGGCUUAACCUGGGAACUGCACUUGAAACUACGAUGCUGGAGUAUGGCAGAGGGAGGUGGAAUUCCACGUGUAGCGGUGAAAUGCGUAGAGAUGUGGAGGAACACCGAUGGCGAAGGCAGCCUCCUGGGUCAACACUGACGCUCAUGCACGAAAGCGUGGGGAGCAAACAGG